UGGCCAUCCUGAGUAUCAAGGCCCAUAACUUUCUAUAAAUACCUAAACAACAGCACUAUACAUAAAAUAUAGGUAUAGGACAGAUCUAAAAGACUGAUAUUUUAUUCACAGGAUCACCACCAAGGAAAUUAAUCUGUGCUUCUUAAUAUGACCAUUGACUCUACAAGAUUGUGCAGACUUACCUCAAAUACAGGAAUUUUGGAGAGAAGGCUCAGAUAGCACGAAACAAGAGCAACAAGAGCAACAAGAAAUUGCUCACAUCUGUUCUGCAAGCAUCCUGUAAAGCACUAGAAGUUGUUGGUAGCAAGUGCCUUGCUGACUGCUGGCUGCAGGACUCUGAGCUCUGCCUCUGUGCAACCUGGCUGUUCUCAGAGUAGUUGCUUGGGUUUUUCAUCUGGGUUUUUUAAUUUUCUUGGGAUGGUUCUCUAAGACAAUUUCUUUUAGCUACUCUAAUCUCUAAAAUAGUCUGAAAAACAGUAGCCAAAGGCAGUGUAAAGAAGACAGCACAAGCACAGUGU
rnacentral:lncRNA from 1 species